rnacentral:rRNA from 1 species
GACGAGGGAUCCUAGCGUUGUUCGGAAUCAUUGGGCGUAAAGCGGGUGCAGGUGGCUCUGUCAGUCAGGUGUGAAAUCCCGAGGCUUAACCUCGGACGUGCAUUUGAUACUGCGGAGCUUGAGUGUGGGAGAGGCUAUUAGAAUUCCAGGUGUAGUGGUGAAAUACGUAGAUAUCUGGAGGAAUACCGGAGGCGAAGGCGGAUAGCUGGCCCAACACUGACACUCAGACCCGAAAGCGUGGGGAUCAAACAGGAUUAGAUACCCGUGUAGU